UACGUAGGGUGCGAGCGUUGUCCGGAAUUAUUGGGCGUAAAGAGCUCGUAGGCGGUCUGUCGCGUCUGCUGUGAAAUCCCGAGGCUCAACCUCGGGCUUGCAGUGGGUACGGGCAGGCUAGAGUGCGGUAGGGGAGAAUGGAACUCCUGGUGUAGCGGUGGAAUGCGCAGAUAUCAGGAAGAACACCGAUGGCGAAGGCAGAUCUCUGAGCCGUAACUGACGCUGAGGAGCGAAAAGCGUGGGGAGCGAACAGG
rnacentral:rRNA from 1 species